rnacentral:rRNA from 1 species
GAUGAACGCUAGCGAUAGGCUUAACACAUGCAAGUCGAGGGGCAGCACAAGGUAGCUUGCUAUCUGGGUGGCGACCGGCGCACGGGUGCGUAACGCGUAUGCAACUUGCCCUAUACAGGAGGAUAACCCGUCGAAAGACGGACUAAUACUGCGUAUGCUCACAACUUGGCAUCAAGUGGUGAGGAAAGAAAUUCGGUAUAGGAUAGGCAUGCGUCCCAUUAGCUUGUUGGUGAGGUAACGGCUCACCAAGGCAACGAUGGGUAGGGGAACUGAGAGGUUUAUCCCCCACACUGGUACUGAGACACGGACCAGACACCUACGGGAGGCAGCAGUGAGGAAUAUUGGCCAAUGGGCGCGAGCCUGAACCAGCCAAGUCGCGUGAAGGAUGACUGUCUUAUGGAUUGUAAACUUCUUUUAUACGGGAAUAACAAGAGUCACGUGUGACUCCCUGCAUGUACCGUAUGAAUAAGCAUCGGCUAACUCCGUG